CCUUCGAUAGCUCAGUUGGUAGAGCGGAGGACUGUAGUGACACUUAUCCCUAGCUAUCCUUAGGUCGCUGGUUCGACUCCGGCUCGAAGGA
rnacentral:tRNA from 1 species